rnacentral:rRNA from 1 species
UACGUAGGGUGCGAGCGUUAAUCGGAGUUACUGGGCGUAAAGUGUGCGCAGGUGGCUUCGCAAGUCGAGUGUGAAAGCCCCGGGCUUAACCUGGGAAUUGCGCUCGAAACUACGGAGCUGGAGUAUGGCAGAGGGAGGUGGAAUUCCACGUGUAGCGGUGAAAUGCGUAGAGAUGUGGAGGAACACCAAUGGCGAAGGCAGCCUCCUGGGCCAAUACUGACACUCAUGCACGAAAGCGUGGGGAGCAAACAGG